UACGAAGGGGGCUAGCGUUGCUCGGAAUCACUGGGCGUAAAGGGUGCGUAGGCGGGUCUUUAAGUCCGGGGUGAAAUCCUGGAGCUCAACUCCAGAACUGCCUUUGAUACUGAGGAUCUUGAGUUCGGGAGAGGUGAGUGGAACUGCGAGUGUAGAGGUGAAAUUCGUAGAUAUUCGCAAGAACACCAGUGGCGAAGGCGGCUCACUGGCCUGAUACUGACGCUGAGGCACGAAAGCGUGGGGAGCAAACAGG
rnacentral:rRNA from 1 species